UGAUGAAGAUAUUACUAGCUGAUUAUUUAGGAAUGCCUAGUAUAUGAUAAAAGAAAUGGAAAAUGAAGACAAGCGUCCUAAGUGAUUUAAGAGUGUUGCUGCCACUAACGAAACGUUACACUAACGAAUAUAUUUAUAUGUCAGUGUGAAGCAACCCUCUUGAAUCACCUAAAAUAGUUAUCAGCACUCUUGCUACAGCAUCCUUGCAUUAUAUGCAUAUGGAUCAGCGGCAUAAAAGAAGGAUAAGGAGUUAGUCGCGCGUAGAAUCCCAAUCGAUAGCCAAAAGACAAGAUAAUAAUAAUUAGCAAUAACUUUACUUCUUUUUGUUAGGACAAUGUUCAUUUCGAUUGGCUAUGCUUGUCAAUGGAAACUUUGCAAGCAGUUGCAAUUGCUGGGAUCAAUCAAGCUGAUGAAAUGUUCCUAGGAUGACAUUGAGCAAUGAUAUAAGUGUCGUUAAUUUACAUUUCUUUCUCUAGUUUCAUAAGUAUUUAAAAAUUGUUAUUGCCCUAUUUAUUUAAACUCGUGAUUCUGUUCUUAUGGUGAAGCCUGAUGAUUAACAUUGAAUGCAACAACUUAACUGCUUGUUUGGGUUGUCGUGAUUCGUUAAUGUGGACAGGGCAGGCAAUCACUUCUAGUAUUUGGUAACUUUCAUACGAACUUGUAAAAUAUUUACUUUAUAUUUCUCCUCAAUAACAUGAUUAUAUUCACAUUAUUAAGGAAAUAUCUACGCCUGCUUGCCACUCGACCAAGCAAAGCAGUCAGUCAAUCGUGACUGGCCACAAAUAUCCGAUCGGGAGUUUGCGACAUCGCUUUUUUUGUUUGCGCUAAAUUAAUCGUCACAUAGGCACUCCAUUCCACUUCACUGAAUGAAGUACCAAGACGUGUCAAAUUUCCCCACGAAUCGGCGACACUCAAAUCUUUCAAAACGGUGACAAGGAGGCCAAAUAGUUGCUUUUGUGGCAUGUAUCGCGUAUCGGGGUACUCGAGAGCGAUAAAUUUGAUACCUCUAAACAUGAUUUGAAACAGUAAAUAAAGUUUGAACACGAGACGGCAAAAUCGAUUAGUGGGCCUUUAUCGGCGUAAAAUAAUCAAGCACAUCGCGCUAAUCCGUUUAAAAUCGUCUAUAUUAUCGUGCUAAGCUGUUUGAAAUCUUGCAUAUUACAUCUAUUAUUGCAGAAACCAUGAGAGGAAUAGGUAUAAGUGUCCCAAAAUUUUCAACCUAUUUCAAUGACGUAAUGUAGUUCAAUUUUGCUUAUUUUAGUGACGGGGGUGAUAUUUUUUAGUCAUUGUAUUACACCCUGUUACUCCCAAACUAGUUUAACGGUCAUUUUCUGUUAAAGCAUCCAGUUCUUAUUUAAGCGUUGUGGAAUGUAGAAGUUCUAGUUUGUCAAUAUAAUUAAAUUCUUGAAUUUACAAAAUAACAAAACUUAGAAUACGCCCCGCCUGUCUCUUAUAAUUUACAAAAUAACAAAACUUAGAAUACGCCCCGCCUGUCUCUUAUCUAGCAGAGCCUUUGCAGCAAUCGAUUUGAUGUGGCCGUUGCAACAAUAAAUUUAUAAGUAGCUUUCACGUUUUUGGCACAUCGUGGUCUUUCGCAAUUUUGUUAUCGGUGGUGUUUCUGGUUUUAUUUGAAAGCUCGUGCCUUUGCUUGUAAAAAAGACAACAAAAUUGAUAAAGAAAAUACGCCGACCAGCGAUCUAUGAUUUCAGACCCUUCAUCCAGAUAUAGAGGUUUGAUAUAUAAUCAAGAGCCGUUAUCGAACAUAAUACCGUCGAGAGAUACUUGUUACUGUCACCAAUUAUGUCACUUCUUUGCGUAUAAAACUCAUCCAAGUACGUGAAGUAAUUAUGCCAAACAAACUAUCGAUCUACGAACUAGAUCUCUGUUGGCUGACAUACCAAGUAUUAGCAUCGAAAGUGGAAAGCUGCCAACAAACGUUGCAUCCAUUCUGAGGUCGGGAUAAUUGUCAAAAUUUAAAACAAAGUUGUCGUGGUGAACUUUGAAAAGGAAUGGACAUUUCAACAGCCGUGCCUCUGGAUUUUAUGGCUGAGGAUUCUCGAAAGGGAGGCCUGAUAUCGGAUUUGCCGUUUGCUUAUCAAUUGACACAAGUGCAUUUGAAUUGUUUGUUUGUGGCUUUUAGGCGCUAACACAUAAAAGAACAACCUAUAAUGCUCCGUGCAAAAGCAAUUUUAAAAUAUAAUUUUUAACCAUGAG